GUUCUUUUUACGCCUGUCACUCCAGUCCUGGACUGAAGGCCAUGGGAAUCUGUUGCACCACACAGAUCCCACCCAGCCUGAGUGGGAAAGUCAGACGAGAUAGGUGCGGCUGGAUUUCUAGGUCAUUUUUUAACUUACUAAAACAUAAAAUAUUAUGAAGAUGAUCUAAUGGCAACAAUGAACUGCUGGUCAAAACAAUUGCUGACAUGGUUAAACCCCUGGGAUCUGCAGACCUCAUUGUUCAUGACCUAAUUUGUUACGUUACAAGGCAGAAGUCAUCACCUGCAGAAAUUCACAGUGCCACAGACAGAGAGCUUAAAAAGAACUCAACCCAGAACUGCUGUCUCCAGAAGAUAAAGCAUCCAUUCACAGCUUAACCACUGCAACGCUGAAAGCAGCAGGACCACCGAGUGAAAGAAGCAGGAUCACCAAAUUCAGCCUGAAGCCAGCCAAGUCCCCAGCCUUCAAGAGCUGUGUACACCUUUAAUUUUACUGGACUCUAA